rnacentral:rRNA from 1 species
AGCAGCCGCGGUAAUACGUAGGGAGCAAGCGUUGUCCGGAAUCAUUGGGCGUAAAGCGCGCGUAGGUGGCCAUGUAAGUCCGCUGUGAAAGUCAAAGGCUCAACCUUUGAAAGCCGGUGGAUACUGCAUGGCUAGAGUACGGAAGAGGCGAGUGGAAUUCCUGGUGUAGCGGUGGAAUGCGCAGAUAUCAGGAGGAACACCAAUAGCGAAGGCAGCUCGCUGGGACGUUACUGACACUGAGGCGCGAAAGCGUGGGGAGCGAACA